CGAGUCUCAGAAAGGAUGCCUUAGGUCACUUGGACCACAUAUAGAUUACAGUAACUUGAUAUUUUUUUGUCAUGACUUUAAGAGUAGGAGACUCAAACCCUAAUAUCAUCCACCCACUGUACCUUGGAAGAAAAAAAAUCCACCUUUGUAGGAAUUCUAGACUCUAUGGCCAUAGCCUACGAUGCCACUGUAAAAGAGAGAGAGAGAGAGAGAGAGAGAGAGCAGCCCUCAAUGAUGAAGGGAAAGUGGGAAAGCCCCAUAAAAGGACCUUGCCUGUACAAUUUAGAUAUGUGUGCAACUGAUCGUCGUUCAGGUACUGGAUUUAAUAUUUAUUCGGUUUCUUUGUUUCUUUUUUGGAGAUCAAGAUGCAACACUGACCGAGUUCUCAUAUUUGCCUUUUGGUAAGUGACCUUAAACAUUUCUUUUAUUUGUUUGUUUCCCCUCUUUUAUGCUUCUACGUUGUGCCCUUUAUUUAUCCUGUGACUUUUUCCCCUUAUCUUUAACCAUAUUCACAUACGCCUUAUUCAUUUGUUGGUUUUUUGAGGGUUGGUAGAAACUUCUUCUUAGAAAGUGUGGAUCUCCAAAUACUGUUUCAAGUCAUGGAUGAUCUUGAUCUUAAUUUGAUUUCAUACUUGUUGUGUAUUAUGUGGGUUGUUCACUUCACUGAUCUAGGCUUCAUUACCUCUGGUGGGUUUAUUUUAUUUUCGCAAUUGGGUUUGUCUUUGUUAACUUUCUAGUAACUUUUCCCUUUCCAGGGUACUAAAAAACCUUAUCAUUUAGGGUUAGGGUUUAUGCAAAUCACCUUCUCCAAUCUCUACUAAGGAGUUCAUUCCUUGAAUUUGUCCAUUUUCUAGCACUUUAGUGUGAUUUGAUUUCUAAACCUUCAUUUGAGAUGGGUUGAGAUUCUAAAUAGUGUUUUGGCUUUUCU